rnacentral:rRNA from 1 species
AUGAGAUCCCCAUCCGGCGCCCGUCCCAGCAGCGGAGGGGGCGCAGCAGCAGACGACGACUUCGCCUUCUACUACUCUUUCUUCCAGGACGCCGCCGCCGCGUCGCCGCUCCCGCUCGCGCUCGACGGAGCCGCCAUGCCUAACAACCGCCGGAGGAAGCGCGGAGUGGACGACGACUCCGCCGCGGCGCCCAUCAAGGACGGUAGCAACAACGGAAGGAAGCGCUCCAUCGCCACCAUAAUAACUUCGCUCGCCGCGCUCGAGGCCGAGGGCCACGCCGACAGCGCGGGGGCCGCCGACGCCUCCCGCCGCGAGCUCGCGCUCCUCGAGUCCAACGCCGAUAACAAGUCGCAGGCCAUGAUGGACUACUUCGCCAAGAUGGAGGGCAGCUUCGAUGCAGACGCCGACUCCGAGGCCGCUGCGCGCUCCAAGCGCUCGCGGCUCUCGGCGUCGGCAGCGGCAGUGGCCGUCGUGGCUGGCGAGGAGGCCGCCACCAAUACUGCCGCGUCGGCCUCGCCGCCGCGUGCAGGCCACCACCAACGUCGGCUGUGGGUCAAGGACCGGUCGCAGGCGUGGUGGGACCAGUGCAAUAGCCCCGACUUCCCAGAGGCAGAGUUUCGGCGCGCCUUCAGGAUGGGCCGGGAGACGUUCGACAUGAUCUGCGAGGCGCUCGGCUCCGCGGUGGCCAAGGAGGACACCAUGCUUCGCGCGGCCAUCCCCGUGCGCCAGCGCGUCGCCGUCUGCAUCUGGCGCCUCGCCACCGGUGAACCGCUCCGCCUCGUCUCCAAGCGCUUCGGCCUCGGCAUCUCCACAUGCCACAAGCUCGUCCUCGAGGUCUGCGGUGCCAUCAAGUCCGUCCUCAUGCCGCGUUUCCUCCAGUGGCCCGACGAGGCCGCCGCCGGCAGAUUCAAGGAGGGCUUCGAGAGAUCCUUCGGUGUUCCGGGGGUCAUCGGAGCCAUGUACACCACGCACAUCCCUAUCAUCGCGCCCAAGAUCUCCGUCGCCGCCUACUUCAACCGUCGGCACACGGAGCGCAAUCAGAAGACAUCCUACUCCAUCACGCUCCAGGGGGUGGUCGGCCCUGACCGCGCCUUCACCGACGUCUGCAUCGGCUGGCCGGGCUCCAUGCCGGACGAUCAGGUGCUCGAGAAAUCCAUGCUGCACCAGCGCGCCGCGGCGGGUAUGAUGCACGACGCUUGCCUCGUCGGCGGCGCAAGCUACCCGCUCAUGGACUGGGUGCUCGUGCCGUACACGCACCAGAACCUGACAUGGACGCAGCACGCCUUCAACGAGAAGGUCGGCGACAUCCGCAACGUGGCCGUGGAGGCGUUCGCGCGGCUCAAGACGCGGUGGGCGUGCCUCCAGAAGCGCACGGAGGUGAAGCUCCAGGACCUCCCCGUGGUGCUGGGCGCCUGCUGCGUCCUGCACAACAUCUGCGAGAUGCGCCGCGAGGAGCUCGAGCCGGAGGUCCCGUUUGCGCUUGUCGACGACGAUACCACGCCGGAGACCCCUGUUCGCUCCGAGACCGCCAAGCAGGAGAGGGACAGCAUCGCGCACAACCUCCUCCACCGCGGUUUCGCCGGCACCACAUUUUUCUGA